rnacentral:rRNA from 1 species
UACGUGGGUGGCAAGCGUUAUCCGGAUUUACUGGGUGUAAAGGGCGUGUAGGCGGGGACGCAAGUCAGAUGUGAAAACCACGGGCUCAACCUGUGGCCUGCAUUUGAAACUGUGUUUCUUGAGUACUGGAGAGGCAGACGGAAUUCCUAGUGUAGCGGUGAAAUGCGUAGAUAUUAGGAGGAACACCAGUGGCGAAGGCGGUCUGCUGGACAGCAACUGACGCUGAGGCGCGAAAGCGUGGGGAGCAAACAGG